AAAAAAAAAAAGGAAAAAGAGAAAAAGGUAGUAUAUGGUUAUAUAUCAUAGAUUUAUAGAUUUUAACCUUCCCUCCCUCUCCCUUCUCAAAAUCCAGGAACUAGCGGAAUUAUUGGAGGAAGAAAAACUAAGUUGUGUGCCAGUGCUCAUCUUUGCUAAUAAGCAGGAUUUGCUCACAGCAGCUCCUGCCUCUGAAAUUGCAGAAGGACUGAACCUGCAUACCAUCCGCGACCGAGUCUGGCAGAUCCAGUCUUGCUCAGCUCUCACAGGAGAGGGCGUUCAGGGUGCUUCCCAGCUCCUCUAUAAGCUUGGGGCAGAGCCCUUCACCUGGCAGGUACCCACAUCCAUGGAGAACUGGGUUGCAGCGGCAGCGGCAGCCGCAGGGGCCCAGGCUGGGGGUCAGCUGGCAGGGACUGGCCUCCACGCGCCCUCUGUUGGCAGGACAGUGGCUGGAAGGACUUCACCACGGCUGGUCCUCACAGGCAUCUGGAGACACCAGACACUGCCCCUCAGCAGGGCUCUGCCGUUUGAACCCUCCUUUGCCUCCAUAACAGAGACCUGGUAUAAUACCACCCCGCACCCUCCACCUUCUGCUUUGGGCUCCUGCAGCUGAGUAAAUAUUUUUCCUAUCUCUUUGCCUGCAUUCAUGUUCAGUUACAUGCAAUAAUCUCUCCUUAAUCAGCCAUAAAGCAAGAAAAAGGCAAAGCGCUGUUCACAUAGUGUGGGCACACUGUCCUUGAUUUCUCUGAGAAGAUGGUUUGAUUGCGAGCCUCCAUAGAGGAGAGGUGCCCACCUUGGAGUGCUUGUGCAAGCCCCUGAAGGUGGAAAGUGCCGUGUAAGUGCCGAUCUAUUCAGCUUCCCAGGCGAGAGAAGAUGCGUAUCUUAUUCAUCCCUCUUUUAUUUGUAAAAUCUUUUUGUCUCUUGGCAGGUGAUCUUUUUUUUUCCUGGAAACCAAUUAGCUACUAAAAUUAAACAUGCUUCUCUUUAAAUUAAUCCUUUUCAUAAAAUGGUCUUAAAAUUGCCCUUAGCUUCUCAGAGUUAGUAGCUGACCCCGUUGUAAUUAGAGAUGCGUUUGGAUUCCCCCUUUCUCCCACCUCAGCAUUCCUCUGCCCUUCCCCCUGCUGCCGCCAGGUGCUGUCCACCUUCGGGCUUUCUGCACCGCGGCCUCAUCUUGGCAAAGGUCAGAGGUCGGCUCUGGGACAGCCGUCAGAUUAUCUGGUUCUGCUGCCCAAGUGCACUGACAGCAACUGGCGGAGUUGUAAUCACUGUAAAUUCAGGUGACGGUCAGAUGUGCUGGGGGAGAGGAUGCCUGCUGGUUGUUUUGCAGUGAUGUAUUGUUUAUGGGAUUAAUGUUCCGAAUGGCCAAGGGUGUCAGCUGAUAUUUAUUACUGUAAGCUGUCUCAGCUGUUCAGGUUCAGCAGCUAGAUCCAUGGCCACAGGAAAUGUGGGACUCGGUGGCGUGUCCAGUAUGGCUGAUGUAUGCAGAUGUAGCUGGGACCUCUGUGAGCCUCUGUUACGGAUGCAAGGGGAAGGACUCGUGCCAGCAGCUGCCUUGGAUUUUGUUCUGGGCUUCUGAGGAAACUCUACACGCUCUUGAAGGAUGGCAUGAACUGGGUCUGCAAAAAUGUCAAUGCAAAGAAGAAAUAAAAUCUAGACGAAUGGAGACGCAGGAGCUGCGGGAGCCGAAUUCGGUCCUGAAAAACACUAAUUUGCUGCUUUCUGACCAAAUGUUUUUCCAUCUGUGUACAGCUACAGCUGUUUGAAGAGAGGGAACAACACAGUUUAGAAAGAAUCCCCAUUCCAGCAGUAGAUUUAACUGAUCUCUGAGGUUCAGUAUCAUUUUUCAAAUAAAGGAAUUAUAUUAUUUCCUCUGCAUAAUUGAAAUAGUAUUAAAUGUCUCAAAGCACAUGAUUAGAAAAUGAGAUCUUUUAAAUGAGCAAGAGAUUGCAUUGCAGUUUAGACAAUUCCAGUGGGCUUUUUUUUCCUCUCGAAAAAAAAAGAAAAAAAGAGGAAGAAGCAGCUUUGCUGAGUUCAUUUAUUUACUGACCCGUCCCUUGCAUUCCCUCCAUGGUUUUGAAACCACAGACAGUGUUUGCUGCUGCUGUCAGUGAUUUUUACCAUCACCAGCCCAGCCAGGCUUCAGUCUGUCCCGCAGGAAGCUGCUGGGUGGGGGUGGGGGGAGAAAAGGCAGAUAAUUAAACUAUCCCAUCGUCUCGCAGGUCAGAGACUACGUAUGUAAUCCUCACUCUUUGGA